CACACAAAUAAAAUAAGCAGCCAAAAAGAAAGUGGUUAAUUUUAUGUGCAUUUUAUGUGCCUUUAACCUCAGUGAAAAGAAUUCUGCAGAAAACCCACACCUGAAUAAGUUUACUAUAUAGGAAAGUUUUCUGGCUCUUUACAUGGUCUUGGUCAUUGGGUGAGUUUUGUGAAGAAAGGUCUCCUCGACUUCUCUACAUUUUUUUCUGAAGGCAGUAGCGUCGUCUUAACACCUUGGUUUUCUGUGCCUCCACGAGUCCUCAAGUUCUGUUUUAGGUGCUGUUUUCAUUUAUUCACUUGGUGUCCCGGAGAAUGAUAAUGAAUAUGUGAUCCCGGACGGAGGACUGCAACCUGGCUGUGCAACUUUGUCAGGCAUCUUAACCUCUCUGGUCUUAGCAAGACACCAAUUAGAUUAUUUCUUGGGACUCGGAGUUUUACAGUGCUAGAUUUAAGAAACGAGCAGUGCAUUGUUAGGUUCCCUUUAAAUAUUCUGCCAGCUAAUUCCUCUGGUUCUUUUACUUUGAAUUCAUUUAUCAAACCUUGCUAGACAGACAGAAAAAAAAAUUAUACUUUGAAUUAGCCUUCUUUUUUUUUUUUCCCAUUAAAUCUCAUUAAUGAGGAAAACAUUCAUUUCCAUAUCUAUGGUCAAACUACUUUUGACCACAGGGAAACUUUUCUUCGUGUUUUUUAAGAUAAAAAUGCCCAAAGCGUGAAAUUGAUGUACUUUUAAGGUUAGAAAAGCCUCAAAAAUGAUUUUUAUCUUUAAUUAUAAUACGUAUCAAAAAAUAACGCACUACAAUAACUUAAUAGCCCAUCAAAACACUAUCUUCAAGGGUCAUUUAGCAUUUCCAUGAUAAAUUGCUAUUUUUAGAAGCUUAUGUAACCAAACAAAGAAUGUGUUCUUGGCUAUGGCCAUGAAGACAAGUUAUUAUCGUGGGAGGGACAAAGGAAUCUGAGAGGCCCAUGAGAGACGGAUCCAAUCGCAGAGGACAUUUUAUAGAGUGCCCUUUCUCUUCAGUCUCCAUUUUCUGCAAUCAGAAUAAUGUAGUGCAUUUCAGAGGCAUUUUCCUUUUUGAAGUGCUCUUUCCUCAUUAGUUAAUAAAUACUCAUCAAUGAAUUUUCCUCCUCAUCUUGGAAGUUGGAGUAAAAAGAUAAUCGCUUUCUAUUUCGCAAAGAUGGGCUGUUUGGAAAGCUGGACUCAGCCUGGAGCCUGCUACCCAGAUUGCGAUUUUGUGAAGACUUCCGCAUACAAAUGACUCAGAUGCAAACAUUCAGAAAUGAUCUUGGAGGGCCAUCUGGUCCUUGCUGGUUCUAAAAGCUUCAUUCAGCCUGGUGGAUGGAGCCCGUGCAAAAGAGAGUGAGGGCCCCGCACUGAGGUCUAAAUACGUUCCCCUGACCGAGGCGAGAAGCUGACUUUCGAAAUAGCUGAGGCUCGAGGGCCGGCUGAUGUCGCCUCCCUCUUAUAGAUGUUGGCGUUCCGCAUUCAGUCAUUGCCGUCUUUCCACGACUGUGGUGCUCCAGGAGAUCUGCCCUACAAGAUCUGGAAUACCGUCAGAUGAAAUAAACUGGUAAGUCCUUCUCUGCAAGUUGAAUGUUUUGUUUCAAAAGCCGUGCCGGAUACCUACAAAGAUUUCCUCAGUCCCUAGCGCCCCGGCCCAAAGACAAGAAGCAAAACCUUGUAACGGUCAAAAGCAGAAGUUAAUGGUUUAGAACUUUUAGGCCGUCCUGGGCGGUCUCUUCUAGCAAGAUGGCGCCUUCAAGGGGUUUCUCACUGUUGAAGCAGAAGUUUAACGUUACCGGUUGUAUGAUCAUCGGGUGAGGCUUAUGGUUUGCGAGAGAGUAGGUAGGGCUCUGCCGUGUACCAGCUUUCUUCAGCAACGCUUUCCCUCUUCUCCUCUCAGGAUAACAUGCUUUCACAGAGAAUCUUGAUGUUUCCCUGUGAGUGGUUUUAUAGGGGCUUCACCUAUAGCAUGGGCUUUGCUGGGGCCCUAGGGACUUAUGUUGGCCCCUGGUAAGUUCACUAAUGGCAGUGCCUGUAUUUCUAUUUUUUUUAAUUUUUCAAAAA